CAGCAGGAGACAAACCUGCCUGGGGUAGAAGUCAGAGCCCCGUAGUGUGGAUAGCAGAGGUGAUGGAAACUGAAACUCUGAAGCCUAUCGACAAAGUCUCCCAGGGGAGGCUACGAGUCAUCGGGCCGUAAUAAAA
rfam:Bradyrhizobium manausense strain BR3351 contig2067, whole genome shotgun sequence.